UACGGGGGGGGCAAGCGUUGUUCGGAAUUACUGGGCGUAAAGGGCUCGUAGGCGGCCAACUAAGUCAGACGUGAAAUCCCUCGGCUUAACCGGGGAACUGCGUCUGAUACUGGAUGGCUUGAGAUUGGGAGAGGGAUGCGGAAUUCCAGGUGUAGCGGUGAAAUGCGUAGAUAUCUGGAGGAACACCGGUGGCGAAGGCGGGUUGCUGGGCUGACACUGACGCUGAGGCGCGAAAGCCAGGGGAGCGAACGGG
rnacentral:rRNA from 1 species